rnacentral:lncRNA from 1 species
GCCUAACCUCUAAUUUACUUUAGUUCCAUGCUGUCUAGACCUAUUAUUUAAUUUUGUCUCUCCUGGUGGUCUAUCUAUCAAAUUAUUUGUAUGCAUGGAGGGAAAGUGAUAAGCUAAAAUGCUAAUUAUCCAUUUUUCUGAAAUUAAAAAAAAAAAAAUCCAUGCCAGGAAUAACAAUAAGGUUUAUUACAAUAGCAUUAAAACCAGUUGCAUUUUUCAUUUGACAAAAUAAGCCUUAAGAAGCUGAGUCCAGUGUUUUUAAUUGCAGGAUGCCUUAUCUAAAAGAAAAUACAUGCUUGCUUCUGGCCGAUUUCAUUUAUUUUCUCCUCAUUGGCAUAUUGGGAGUAUUUGCUUUACAGCAUUAUGACUGUCAGCUCUUGCCCCAAAAUUAAAUUCUUUUAAAUAGCUUUUAAGAUUUUUAAAUCACUUUAGUUGCAGAAAGAUAUAAACUUAAAUUACCAUUUUUCACCCAUCUGAACUUUCAAACACUAUAGCAUCUUGCAUUAGGGCAGAAAUUUAUACUGGACAGGAAGAUUCUGCUUAAAUAAUUAGGAAGAUUUAUUUUAAACUCUUAUAAGUCAUUAAUGGAAACUGUGGGAGCAUAGCUGCAAAUUUAAGAACUGUGAUGCUAAAGGUCUGUUUCAAAGGGAAAAUCUGUCGCACAUAUAUUCCCUUCUGAUUGCUUUUACACCCAGUGCAUAUGUCCACUAACCAGAUUUUAAUCAGUGCAGAUUUCACUGCAGGCACUAGUUGGUAUCAUGUCCCAAAAUUAUCCACAAUAACUUUGUAAGCACUCUCAGAUGGGAACAACUGGGUUAAAUGAUUUGUAAAUAAUUCAGAAAUCAUUCUUUAUUGGUCCUUCUUCUCAUGGAGCUCAACAGCGUAGUUUCUGCUAUGACCACAUUCCAUUCCAACUCCUUCACUUUGAAAGACAACACUAAAGAAAGGUCCCUGAACACAGUGAUAUCCAACACAGCAUGCUGCAGUCACCAGGGCCUUGUGCAGAUUACUGCCUCAUCAUGGAGCUUGGAGGAGCAAGGCCUGAAAGUGCUGAAUAACAUGAACAUAAAUGAGGUGAUGGCAAGGGGACUGACAAAUACCUUCUACAGCAAGCAGGACACGCCUUCCCUUCUCUCCCUCUAGAGAACAAUGUUGCUCUGUGCUACAGGCUCUGCUAUACCUCAAGCUACCAGCAACUCACAACAGCACAUGGGGAACCAGAGAUGCUAAGGUCCACUUCACAUCCUCAAAGAAUGUUUGGGGGACUGCAAUAUAUGGCUAAAUAAGAAAAUCCAUUCUGCGGAAGUCAUCAAGCAAUUGUAAAAUAAUCAUCCAAAAUAAAUACUCUUACAAAUUACAGCUGGUGUUGAGCAAAAAGCAUGGAAAUUAGCCUUUGCUUGCAUAGCAAUAACAAUUCUUUAUUUCCAUCAACAUUAUCUAUCAACAGACUUUUUUCUUAAGUUAUGUUAGUCUUAUGUUCUCUUGUCUCUUUCAUCUCUUAAAAAAAUAAAAAGGUGU